rnacentral:snRNA from 1 species
GGAUGUGAGUGUGAUCUGGUGCAACAUCUGUCACCCCACUGAUCUCCAGGGUCAAUUUGGCUGAUCUGGCUGGCCAGGUGUAUGUCCCCUUCCUCCCUCACCAUCCAUGGGCGUCCCUCCCGAAGCUGUGCACUCGGUCAGUAGAACAGGACUACCUUCCCCAAAUAGAAGAGCACUGGCCUAUGGUCAAGGUUAUAUGAGUAGCUGCGCUCCCCUGCUGCAACCUCCAAACAAGCUCUCAAGGUCCAUUUGUAGGAGAACGUAGGAUAGUCAAGCUUCCAAGACUCUAGACACAUCCAAAUGAGGUGCUGCAUGUGGCAGUCUGCAUUUGUUA